GUUAUGAACCGCUCCGGUGGCCUAGUGGUUAGAGUGUCUGCCUGGGAUGCAGGAAGAUGCGGGUUCGAUCCCUGGUCAAGUCAUACCA